UGAAUAGAAGCCAUAUAUGGCAUUUAACUGUUAAUUAAAAGCUAGCCGGCAAACCGGCCUAUUCAG
rnacentral:tRNA from 1 species